CCUACGGGUGGCAGCAGUGAGGAAUAUUGGUCAAUGGACGAGAGUCUGAACCAGCCAAGUAGCGUGAAGGAUGACUGCCCUAUGGGUUGUAAACUUCUUUUAUAUGGGAAUAAAAUGUUCCACGUGUGGGAUUUUGUAUGUACCAUAUGAAUAAGGAUCGGCUAACUCCGUGCCAGCAGCCGCGGUAAUACGGAGGAUCCGAGCGUUAUCCGGAUUUAUUGGGUUUAAAGGGAGCGUAGGUGGAUUGUUAAGUCAGUUGUGAAAGUUUGCGGCUCAACCGUAAAAUUGCAGUUGAAACUGGCAGUCUUGAGUACAGUAGAGGUGAGCGGAAUUCGUGGUGUAGCGGUGAAAUGCUUAGAUAUCACGAAGAACUCCGAUGGCGAAGGCAGUUCACUGGACUGCAACUGACACUGAGGCUCGAAAGUGUGGGUAUCAAACAGGAUUAGAUACCCGAGUAGUC
rnacentral:rRNA from 1 species